CAGAGGCAGGACUGGGGCGGGGCUUGAUCGGCUUUGUAGCAAAAGGCUACCUGAACCGGUGCUCCUCCUACGCCGUACCGUCACGGGUCAUCUCAGGCAGUGGCCGGUCCUCAUCGAUGCCCAGGCAGGAGUCUAGCGCUCCGGGGAUCACAUGGAGCGCUAAUCCGGAGAGCGAGCGAGCAACGGAAGUGGGGGCGUGACCAACGAUGCGGCGAAACUGCGCACACUCAGGAAUUCUACCCCAAUCGGAAGUCGGAAGUCGUGGCGUCUUCGGUUACCACGGUGACGAGCCCACUUCCGUUCUCGUACCUCUCGGGUAUCCCUUGUGAGCGCCGGGCACAAAAAUAUAAAGCCAGCCGUUUGAGAUCGUGCCGCGGGAGGUGAAAGGCCCCGCUCCCAACGUGGUGAUCACUCACGCGAAACGCAAGAAUUGCGAGACCCUGAGAUUUCUCCAGCGAUCCCCACCCCCAGGCUCAACGCAGCCAAACUGGACCGCAGUCAGGACUCCAGUUAAGAGUGAAAUGUGCUCUGGUGUAUAGUAAGGAGAUUUGACAGAUGAGUUCACCACUUACCCUACCUCCAAGAAAUAUCCUCCACCAGUCAAUUUUAAUGUAUAACUUAUGUCUCUGGAAAAUCAGCUUUUGGGGUUUUGAAGGCCCUUCAGUCUCCCAGACACCUGGGAGCGCUGUCUCCUUGUGAUAGGGCAUGUGUGUCCCAGAAGAGACACAGGGUUGGGAGGCAGUUCCGGGCUCUGAGUUGGCAGAUAACCAGCCUGAGAUGGAGAACUGGUACUGUAGCUCUUGG
rnacentral:lncRNA from 1 species